GCCCGGGUGGUGAAAUUGGUAGACACAAGGGAUUUAAAAUCCCUCGCUCGUUAGAGUGUGCCGGUUCAAGUCCGGCCCCGGGCACCA
rnacentral:tRNA from 3 species